UNAGAACACCAAUUGCGAAGGCAGGUUACUAAGCAACAACUGACGCUGAUGGACGAAAGCGUGGGGAGCGANCAGGAUUAGAUANNNGGUANNCCACGCNNUAAACGAUGCUAACUCGUUUUUGGAAUGUAAGUUUCAGAGACUAAGCGAAAGUGAUAAGUUAGCCACCUGGGGAGUACGAACGCAAGUUUGAAACUCAAAGGAAUUGACGGGGGCCCGCACAAGCGGUGGAUUAUGUGGUUUAAUUCGAUGAUACGCGAGGAACCUUACCAAGGCUUAAAUGGGAAAUGACAGGUUUAGAAAUAGACUUUUCUUCGGACAUUUUUCAAGGUGCUGCAUGGUUGUCGUCAGCUCGUGCCGUGAGGUGUUAGGUUAAGUCCUGCAACGAGCGCAACCCCUGUCACUAGUUGCCAUCAUUAAGUUGGGGACUCUAGUGAGACUGCCUACGCAAGUAGAGAGGAAGGUGGGGAUGACGUCAAAUCAUCACGGCCCUUACGCCUUGGGCCACACACGUAAUACAAUGGCCGGUACAGAGGGCAGCUACACUGCGAAGUGAUGCAAAUCUCGAAAGCCGGUCUCAGUUCGGAUUGGAGUCUGCAACUCGACUCUAUGAAGCUGGAAUCGCUAGUAAUCGCGCAUCAGCCAUGGCGCGGUGAAUACGUUCCCGGGCCUUGUACACACCGCCCGUCAAGCCAUGGAAGUCUGGGGUACCUGAAGUCGGUGACCGUAACAGGAGCUGCCUAGGGUAAAACAGGUAACUAGGGCU
rnacentral:rRNA from 1 species